rnacentral:rRNA from 1 species
ACGUAGGGGGCAAGCGUUGUCCGGAUUUACUGGGUGUAAAGGGUGCUCAGGCGGAUUUGUAAGUCAGAGGUGAAAUCUCACAGCUUAACUGUGAAACUGCCUUUGAUACUGCAAGUCUAGAGUAUGGAAGAGAGUGAUGGAAUGUCUGGUGUAGCAGUGAAAUGCGUAGAUAUCAGAUAGAACACCAAUGGCGAAGGCAGUCACUUGGUCCAUUACUGACGCUAAAGCACGAAAGCGUGGGUAGCAAACAG